rnacentral:rRNA from 1 species
GUGCCAGCAGCCGCGGUAAUACGUAGGUGGCAAGCGUUGUCCGGAUUUACUGGGUGUAAAGGGCGCGUAGGCGGGAUUACAAGUCAGAUGUGAAAUGCAGGGGCUUAACCCCUGAGCUGCAUUUGAAACUGUAGUUCUUGAGUAUCGGAGAGGCAGGCGGAAUUCCUAGUGUAGCGGUGAAAUGCGUAGAUAUUAGGAGGAACACCAGUGGCGAAGGCGGCCUGCUGGACGACAACUGACGCUGAUGCGCGAAAGCGUGGGGA